UUGCUUUAAACAUCCUUUUUCACACGUGUGGAGUCUUAAUUCAUUACUAUGCUCUGUUGAAAACGUUCCUGCAUUCUGGUGUGGUUUCAUGUGGAGGACUGAGAAAUAGCUUGCUCCUAGACUUUACAUCAGACACUGGUAUACGCGAGCUGUGUGCAAUAGGUUUAAUG